CAGUCGCCACGGUAAUACGAAGGGUGCAAGCGUUAAUCGGAAUUACUGGGCGUAAAGCGUGCGUAGGCGGUGAGUUAAGUCUGCUGUGAAAUCCCCGGGCUCAACCUGGGAAUGGCAGUGGAUACUGGCUCGCUAGAGUGUGUCAGAGGAUGGUGGAAUUCCCGGUGUAGCGGUGAAAUGCGUAGAGAUCGGGAGGAACAUCAGUGGCGAAGGCGGCCAUCUGGGACAACACUGACGCUGAGGCACGAAAGCGUGGGGAGCAAACAGGAUUAGAUACCCGCGUAGUCCCUGUCUCUUAUAA
rnacentral:rRNA from 1 species